UCAAACUUGGUCAUUUAGAGGAAGUAAAAGUCGUAACAAGGUUUCCGUAGGUGAACCUGCGGAAGGAUCAUUACAGGAUCAUCAUAUCCCUAUGAUCAUCCCCUUUGUGCACGCACAGAAACAUUAUACUAUCCCUGUAUUUUGACUGAAUUUUGUUAUAUUGAAAUAAAUACAACUUUCAACAACGGAUCUCUUGGCUCUCUAUAAGAGACAGUCAAACUUGGUCAUUUAGAGGAAGUAAAAGUCGUAACAAGGUUUCCGUAGGUGAACCUGCGGAAGGAUCAUUACAGGAUCAUCAUAUCCCUAUGAUCAUCCCCUUUGUGCACGCACAGAAACAUUAUACUAUCCCUGUAUUUUGACUGAAUUUUGUUAUAUUGAAAUAAAUACAACUUUCAACAACGGAUCUCUUGGCUCUCGCAUCGAUGAAGAACGCAGC
rnacentral:misc_RNA from 1 species